GUGAGGAAUAUUGCGCAAUGGAGGCAACUCUGACGCAGCCAUGCCGCGUGCAGGAAGAAGGCGCUACGCGUUGUAAACUGCUUUUAACCGGGAAGAAACCCCAGGACGUGUCCUGGGUUGACGGUACCGGAGGAAUAAGCACCGGCUAACUUCGUGCCAGCAGCCGCGGUAAUACGAAGGGUGCAAGCGUUAUCCGGAUUCAUUGGGUUUAAAGGGUGCGUAGGCGGAGCGUUAAGUCAGUGGUGAAAUCCUGCAGCUUAACUGUAGACUUGCCAUUGAUACUGGCGCUCUUGAGUGCGCUUGAAGUGGGCGGAAUGUGCCGUGUAGCGGUGAAAUGCUUAGAUAUGGCACAGAACACCAAUUGCGAAGGCAGCUCACUAAGGCGAUACUGACGCUGAGGCACGAAAGCGUGGGGAGCAAACAGGAUUAGAAACCCCGGUAGUCC
rnacentral:rRNA from 1 species